rnacentral:snRNA from 1 species
UAACAUGUGAAAUGGGUGCA